rnacentral:tRNA from 1 species
GGCUAGAUAGUAUAAUGGCAAUGCAGUGGGUUGCAAACCCAAAAAUGAGGGUUCAAGUCCCUCUCCAGCCU